GACGAACGCUGGCGGCGUGCUUAACACAUGCCAGUCGAACGGAAAGGCCCUGCUUUUGUGGGGUGCUCGAGUGGCGAGCGGGUGAGUAACACGUGAGUAACCUGCCCUUGACUUUGGGAUAACUUCAGGAAACUGGGGUUAAUACCGGAUAGGAGCUCCUGCUGCAUGGUGGGGGUUGGAAAGUUUCGGCGGUUGGGGAUGGACUCGCGGCUUAUCAGCUUGUUGGUGGGGUAGUGGCUUACCAAGGCUUUGACGGGUAGCCGGCCUGAGAGGGUGACCGGCCACAUUGGGACUGAGAUACGGCCCAGACUCCUACGGGAGGCAGCAGUGGGGAAUAUUGCACAAUGGGCGGAAGCCUGAUGCAGAAACGCCGCGUGCGGGAUGACGGCCUUCGGGUUGUAAACCGCUUUCGCCUGUGACGAAGCGUGAGUGACGGUAAUGGGUAAAGAAGCACCGGCUAACUACGUG
rnacentral:rRNA from 1 species